rnacentral:rRNA from 1 species
AGAGUUUGAUCCUGGCUCAGGACGAACGCUGGCGGCGUGCCUAAUACAUGCAAGUCGAGCGGACAGAAGGGAGCUUGCUCCCKGAUGUUAGCGGCGGACGGGUGAGUAACACGUGGGUAACCUGCCUGUAAGACUGGGAUAACUCCGGGAAACCGGAGCUAAUACCGGAUAGUUCCUUGAACCGCAUGGUUCAAGGAUGAAAGACGGUUUCGGCUGUCACUUACAGAUGGACCCGCGGCGCAUUAGCUAGUUGGUGGGGUAAUGGCUCACCAAGGCGACGAUGCGUAGCCGACCUGAGAGGGUGAUCGGCCACACUGGGACUGAGACACGGCCCAGACUCCUACGGGAGGCAGCAGUAGGGAAUCUUCCGCAAUGGACGAAAGUCUGACGGAGCAACGCCGCGUGAGUGAUGAAGGUUUUCGGAUCGUAAAGCUCUGUUGUUAGGGAAGAACAAGUGCGAGAGUAACUGCUCGCACCUUGACGGACCUAACCA